AAAUCUGCAGGACCCUGACCAGCAACGCCGCGUGAGCGAAGAAGGCCUUCGGGUUGUAAAGCUCAAUACUAUGGGACGGAAUUACUGGGCGUAAAGAGCACGUAGGCGGCUAUAUAACUCAUGUGUGAAAAACCUGGGCUUAACCGAGGGUAUGCAUCUGAAACUAUAUAGCUUGAGUCAUGGAGAGGAGACCGGAAUUCCUGGUGUAGCGGUGAAAUGCGUAGAGAUCAUGAAGAAUACCACUGGCGAAAGCGGCUCUCUGGACUUGAACUGACGCUGAUGUGCGAAAGCGUGGGGAGCAAACAAGAUUAUAUACCCUGGUAGUCCACCCCGUAAACAAUGGAUACUACGUGUGGGUGAGGAAUCAACCGUGCCGGAGUUAAAGCAAUAAGUAUCCCUCCUGGGGAGUACAGCCGCAAGGUUGAAACUCAAAUGAAUUGACGGAACGGA
rnacentral:rRNA from 1 species